rnacentral:rRNA from 1 species
CCCUUAGAUGUCCUGGGCCGCACGCGCGUUACACUGAUGCAUUCAACGAGCUUAUAACCGUGGCCGAGAGGCCUGGGCAAUCUUGUUAACGUGCAUCGUGAUAGGGAUAGAUUAUUGAAAUUAUUAAUCUUGAACGAGGAAUUCCUGGUAAACGCAGAUCAUCAAUCUGCAUUGAUUACGUCCCUGCCCUUUGUACACACCGCCCGUCGCACCUACCGAUUGGAUGGUCCGGUGAAGCCUCGGGAUUGUGGUUCUUGCCGCUUUAUUGUGGCGUGACCGCGAGAACUUGUCUAAACCUUAUCAUCUAGAGGAAGGUGAAGUCGUAACA